ACAACAACAGAAAGCACCACAACCGACACUACAACACCAGAAAGCACCACUACAGGUACCACAACACCAGAAAGCACAACAACCGAGACCACAACAGACACUACAACACCAGAAAGCACCACUACAGGUACCACAACACCGGAAAGCACCACCACAAGUACAACAACACCAGAAAGCACAACGACCGAGACCACAACAACAGAAAGCACUACAACAGAAAGUAUCACCCCUGGUAUAACAACUUUAGAAAGUACAACAAUGGAAAUCUCAACCAUAGAAAGCACCACAACAGACACUACAACAACAGAAAGCACGACCACAGGUACCACAACACCAGAAAGGACAACAACAGAGACCACAACAACAGAAAGCACUACAACAGAAAGUACUACCACUGCUAUUACAACUUCAGAAAUUACUACGAUGGAAACCACGACUACAGAAAGCACGACAACAGACACUAAAACAACAGAAAGCACCACCAAAGGUACCA